ensembl:ncRNA lncRNA:CR33987 long non-coding RNA:CR33987
GGGAAACUAUCUCUUUCUCUCGCUCAACUCAGUUGUUCUCUCUUCUGCUGUCGCUCUCGCUGCCCACUGUCAGCUCUCAACGUUCCGAUUGUCAAAAAGAUAUUUCAGUCGAAUGUUUUAGUUUCGACCUCGGCCGAGCUGGAGACUCAUCUAACGGCUUUCUCAGCGGCAAGUUCGAAAUCAUGUCGCCUUUGAACGGUGGGUGGUGCAGCAGUAACGGUACAUCGCUCGACCUACGACUAAAUUGCGAGUGCAGAAAAUAGUGUUCACGGAAUUAACAGACCUCGAAAAUCCAAGUGUAGGCGAAUAAAUAAACGAAAUUAUCGUGGAAAGCCAUCAAUAAAUCACCAAAUUAAUAGCCCUGACGAGCACCCACGGCAUACGCACAGCUGUUGUGUGUGCAAAGUGAGAAGAGGAAGCUAAAGGAAGUGAAAUUGGCGGCAGUUUGACCGCAACAGCAAUAAAAUACGUCUGCAACCCACAAACGCACGCUCACAUACACCCGUUCGUCAUCGAAUCGUCGUGGUCCUCCGCUUCCCAGUCCUCGCCCGCCCCUCUUCGACACACGAACCAUUGUGACAUUUGAUUUAUAUGACGUGUGUGUUUUUGAUAGAAGUUCAACACGAAACUGUCACACAAACACACGUAUGCUCGCCGAGGAAUUUAUUCAGUGAACGAAAAUAAAAUCAGAGCUCCGUACGCACUUGGCCGCAGUGAAACGAAUCCGCCACCAUCGAUGAGCAGGCGGACGAAAGUCGGAAGUAUCGCCAGGCAGUCCAGUAAUCAAACCUUUGGAGAGCGAGCCCGGAUACCCAGUUUUCUACAAAAUGAUGCUGCACGAGGCCGUCAUGCUGGAAAUCUAUCGCCAGGCGCUGAGUGCAAGGUGAGCGCUUCCUCCGAUUUGCUGUUCCACGCCAAUAGCGAUUCGAUACGGGGUUUCCCGAGGAGGUUGGGCAGUUCCCUUUGGAGAUGCAGUGCUUUAUUUCGAUUAUUUAGUCGAAAGCUGCAUAAAGUUAAUUGGGCAUAAAUAAAAGAUAUAACUAAAAC